GUCUCCUCGUAAAUUGAAAUUAUAUGAGGGGUCAGGCCUGCCCGGUGACUUAAUUGUUAAACGGCCGCGGUACCCUAACCGUGCAAAGGUAGCAUAAUCAUUUGCCUUUUAAUUGGAGGCUGGUAUGAAUGGUUUGACGAGAGCUAAGCUGUCUCUUUUAAAAUAAUUAGAAUUUAACUUUUAGGUGAAGAGGCCUAAAUUUAUUUAAGGGACAAGAAGACCCUGUUGAGCUUUAGUGAGGUUGUGAGUUUUAGUUUAUUGUUUUAAGAUAGAACUGUGUAUAUAUUUAAUAUAAUUUUAUCUUGCAAUUAAUCUUUAGUUGGGGCGACUGAGGAACAUAAGAAGCUUCCUUUAUAGAAUUUUAGUUUGUAGAAGUGUAUUUUAUUAUUUUGGCAAAAUAGAAUGAUCCAAAAUUUUUGAUCAAAGGAAAAAGUUACCACAGGGAUAACAGCGUAAUCUUUCUGGAGAGAUCAUAUCGAAAGAAGGGUUUGCGACCUCGAUGUUGGACUAAGAUAUCCUAAGGGUGCAGAAGCUCUUGGAGGUUGGUCUGUUCGACCAUUAAAAUCUU
rnacentral:rRNA from 1 species